rnacentral:tRNA from 1 species
GCGCAGGUGCUGGAAUUGGUAGACAACCGGCCCCGAGAUGGCCGGGCCCGAAAGGGUGUGAGGGUUCGAAUCCCUCCCUGUGCA